GGCACGGUGGCGUAGUGGUUAGCACUGUCGCCUCACAGCAAGAAGGUUGUGGGUUCUAAUCCGGCCUGGGGCC